GGGUUGUGAGGUUAAGCGACUAAGCGUACACGGUGGAUGCCCUGGCAGUCAGAGGCGAUGAAGGACGUGCUAAUCUGCGAUAAGCGUCGGUGAGGUGAUAUGAACCGUUAUAACCGGCGAUUUCCGAAUGGGGAAACCCAGUGUGUUUCGACACACUAUCAUUAACUGAAUCCAUAGGUUAAUGAGGCGAACCGGGGGAACUGAAACAUCUAAGUACCCCGAGGAAAAGAAAUCAACCGAGAUUCCCCCAGUAGCGGCGAGCGAACGGGGAGGAGCCCAGAGCCUGAAUCAGUGUGUGUGUUAGUGGAAGCGUCUGGAAAGGCGUGCGAUACAGGGUGACAGCCCCGUACACAAAAAUGCACAUAUUGUGAGCUCGAUGAGUAGGGCGGGACACGUGGUAUCCUGUCUGAAUAUGGGGGGACCAUCCUCCAAGGCUAAAUACUCCUGACUGACCGAUAGUGAACCAGUACCGUGAGGGAAAGGCGAAAAGAACCCCGGCGAGGGGAGUGAAAAAGAACCUGAAACCGUGUACGUACAAGCAGUGGGAGCCUCUUAAUGGGGUGACUGCGUACCUUUUGUAUAAUGGGUCAGCGACUUAUAUUCUGUAGCAAGGUUAACCGAAUAGGGGAGCCGAAGGGAAACCGAGUCUUAACUGGGCGUUAAGUUGCAGGGUAUAGACCCGAAACCCGGUGAUCUAGCCAUGGGCAGGUUGAAGGUUGGGUAACACUAACUGGAGGACCGAACCGACUAAUGUUGAAAAAUUAGCGGAUGACUUGUGGCUGGGGGUGAAAGGCCAAUCAAACCGGGAGAUAGCUGGUUCUCCCCGAAAGCUAUUUAGGUAGCGCCUCGUGAAUUCAUCUCCGGGGGUAGAGCACUGUUUCGGCAAGGGGGUCAUCCCGACUUACCAACCCGAUGCAAACUGCGAAUACCGGAGAAUGUUAUCACGGGAGACACACGGCGGGUGCUAACGUCCGUCGUGAAGAGGGAAACAACCCAGACCGCCAGCUAAGGUCCCAAAGUCAUGGUUAAGUGGGAAACGAUGUGGGAAGGCCCAGACAGCCAGGAUGUUGGCUUAGAAGCAGCCAUCAUUUAAAGAAAGCGUAAUAGCUCACUGGUCGAGUCGGCCUGCGCGGAAGAUGUAACGGGGCUAAACCAUGCACCGAAGCUGCGGCAGCGACACUAUGUGUUGUUGGGUAGGGGAGCGUUCUGUAAGCCUGUGAAGGUGUGCUGUGAGGCAUGCUGGAGGUAUCAGAAGUGCGAAUGCUGACAUAAGUAACGAUAAAGCGGGUGAAAAGCCCGCUCGCCGGAAGACCAAGGGUUCCUGUCCAACGUUAAUCGGGGCAGGGUGAGUCGACCCCUAAGGCGAGGCCGAAAGGCGUAGUCGAUGGGAAACAGGUUAAUAUUCCUGUACUUGGUGUUACUGCGAAGGGGGGACGGAGAAGGCUAUGUUGGCCGGGCGACGGUUGUCCCGGUUUAAGCGUGUAGGCUGGUUUUCCAGGCAAAUCCGGAAAACCAAGGCUGAGGCGUGAUGACGAGGCACUACGGUGCUGAAGUGACAAAUGCCCUGCUUCCAGGAAAAGCCUCUAAGCAUCAGGUAACAUCAAAUCGUACCCCAAACCGACACAGGUGGUCAGGUAGAGAAUACCAAGGCGCUUGAGAGAACUCGGGUGAAGGAACUAGGCAAAAUGGUGCCGUAACUUCGGGAGAAGGCACGCUGAUAUGUAGGUGAAGCGACUUGCUCGUGGAGCUGAAAUCAGUCGAAGAUACCAGCUGGCUGCAACUGUUUAUUAAAAACACAGCACUGUGCAAACACGAAAGUGGACGUAUACGGUGUGACGCCUGCCCGGUGCCGGAAGGUUAAUUGAUGGGGUUAGCGGCAACGCGAAGCUCUUGAUCGAAGCCCCGGUAAACGGCGGCCGUAACUAUAACGGUCCUAAGGUAGCGAAAUUCCUUGUCGGGUAAGUUCCGACCUGCACGAAUGGCGUAAUGAUGGCCAGGCUGUCUCCACCCGAGACUCAGUGAAAUUGAACUCGCUGUGAAGAUGCAGUGUACCCGCGGCAAGACGGAAAGACCCCGUGAACCUUUACUAUAGCUUGACACUGAACAUUGAGCCUUGAUGUGUAGGAUAGGUGGGAGGCUUUGAAGUGUGGACGCCAGUCUGCAUGGAGCCGACCUUGAAAUACCACCCUUUAAUGUUUGAUGUUCUAACGUUGGCCCCUGAUCGGGGUUGCGGACAGUGUCUGGUGGGUAGUUUGACUGGGGCGGUCUCCUCCUAAAGAGUAACGGAGGAGCACGAAGGUUGGCUAAUCCUGGUCGGACAUCAGGAGGUUAGUGCAAUGGCAUAAGCCAGCUUGACUGCGAGCGUGACGGCGCGAGCAGGUGCGAAAGCAGGUCAUAGUGAUCCGGUGGUUCUGAAUGGAAGGGCCAUCGCUCAACGGAUAAAAGGUACUCCGGGGAUAACAGGCUGAUACCGCCCAAGAGUUCAUAUCGACGGCGGUGUUUGGCACCUCGAUGUCGGCUCAUCACAUCCUGGGGCUGAAGUAGGUCCCAAGGGUAUGGCUGUUCGCCAUUUAAAGUGGUACGCGAGCUGGGUUUAGAACGUCGUGAGACAGUUCGGUCCCUAUCUGCCGUGGGCGCUGGAGAACUGAGGGGGGCUGCUCCUAGUACGAGAGGACCGGAGUGGACGCAUCACUGGUGUUCGGGUUGUCAUGCCAAUGGCACUGCCCGGUAGCUAAAUGCGGAAGAGAUAAGUGCUGAAAGCAUCUAAGCACGAAACUUGCCCCGAGAUGAGUUCUCCCUGACUCCUUGAGAGUCCUGAAGGAACGUUGAAGACGACGACGUUGAUAGGCCGGGUGUGUAAGCGCAGCGAUGCGUUGAGCUAACCGGUACUAAUGAACCGUGAGGCUUAACCUUACAACGCCGAAG
rnacentral:rRNA from 1 species